UACAGGGGGUGCAAACGUUGCUCGGAAUUAUUGGGCGUAAAGCGCACGUGGGCGGUUUGUUAUGUCGGAUGUGAAAGCCCUUGGCUCAACUGAGGAAGUGCAUCCGAAACUGGCAAGCUAGAGUAUGUAAGAGGGUCGCGGAAUUCCCGGUGUAGAGGUGAAAUUCGUAGAUAUCGGGAGGAACACCGGUGGCGAAGGCGGCGACCUGGGACAAUACUGACGCUGAGGUGCGAAAGCGUGGGGAGCAAACAGG
rnacentral:rRNA from 1 species